UACGUAGGGUGCGAGCGUUAAUCGGAAUUACUGGGCGUAAAGCGUGCGCAGGCGGCUUUGCAAGACAGAUGUGAAAUCCCCGGGCUCAACCUGGGAACUGCAUUUGUGACUGCAAGGCUAGAGUACGGCAGAGGGGGAUGGAAUUCCGCGUGUAGCAGUGAAAUGCGUAGAUAUGCGGAGGAACACCAAUGGCGUAGGCAAUCCCCUGGGCCUGUACUGACGCUCAUGCACGAAAGCGUGGGGAGCAAACAGG
rnacentral:rRNA from 1 species